UUUGGGUACAAAUCACCGUUGAAAAAGACAGCUAUUUAUACCUAGAGGCAAUCAGCAAUUGGAACAGCUUUGCAAAGUCUUAUUGGAGUUUGGAUGCAUGGAAAAACCCUUUAAAGCUGUGGAUAUCAAAAACAAGGGUCUAAGAAGUACUCCUUACUACCAAAUCCUUAUUAACAGAGUCAACAGAUUUGGCAAGUCUACAGUUUAUGUUCCUGAGGAAGAGAUAACAAUUCUUAUGAGACCAGAAGGUAUUAUUUCAGUUUGUAAGAGUUAAGUCCAAUUUCAUUUUAAA
rnacentral:lncRNA from 1 species